rnacentral:rRNA from 1 species
UUCCGCUCCAUAGCGUAUAUUAAAGUUGUUGCAGUUAAAAAGCUCGUAGUUGAAUUUCGGGGUCAGUAGGUUGGUCAUGCCACUGGUAUGUACUGGUCUCACUGAUUCCUCCUUCCUGAUGAGCCGUAAUGCCAUUAAUUUGGUGUUGCGAGGAAUCUGGACUGUUACUUUGAAAAAAUUAGAGUGUUUAAAGCAGGCUAACGCUUGAAUACAUUAGCAUGGAAUAAUGAAAUAGGACGUUCGAUCUUAUUUUGUUGGUUUCUAAGAUUGACGUAAUGAUUAAUAGGGAUAGUUGGGGGCAUUAGUAUUCAAUUGUCAGAGGUGAAAUUCUUGGAUUUAUUGAAGACUAACUACUGCGAAAGCAUUUGCCAAGGAUGUUUUCAUUAAUCAAGAACGAAAGUUAGGGGAUCGAAGACGAUCAGAUACCGUCGUAGUCUUAACCAUAAACUAUGCCGACUAGGGAUCGGAUGAUGUUAAUUUUUUAAUGACUCAUUCGGCGCCUUACGGGAAACA